rnacentral:rRNA from 1 species
AUCUUGCACAAUGGGGGCAACCCUGAUGCAGCGACGCCGCGUGAGCGAUGAAGCCCUUCGGGGCGUAAAGCUCUUUCGACCGGAACGAUAAUGACGGUACCGGGAGAAGAAGCUGCGGCUAACUACGUGCCAGCAGCAGCGGUAAUACGUAGGCAGCAAGCGUUGUUCGGAGUUACUGGGCGUAAAGAGUGCGUAGGCGGUUUUCUAAGUUCGGUGUGAAAUCUCCCGGCUUAACUGGGAGGGUGCGCCGAAGACUGGGAAGCUGGAGUGUGGGAAAGGCAGGCGGAAUUCCUGGUGUAGCGGUGAAGUGCGUAGAUAUCAGGAGGAACACCGGCGGUGUAGACGGCUUGCUAGACCAUAACUGACGCUGAGGCACGAAAGCGUGGGUAGCA